rnacentral:rRNA from 1 species
GACGAACGCUGGCGGCGUGCCUAAUACAUGCAAGUCGAGCGGAAGUUGGAGAGCUUGCUCUUCAACUUUAGCGGCGGACGGGUGAGUAACACGUGGGCAACCUGCCCUGCAGAUCGGGAUAACUCCGGGAAACCGGUGCUAAUACCGAAUAGUUUUCGCCACCUCCUGGUGGCGUACGGAAAGACGGUUUCGGCUGUCACUGCAGGAUGGGCCCGCGGCGCAUUAGCUAGUUGGUGGGGUAACGGCCCACCAAGGCGACGAUGCGUAGCCGACCUGAGAGGGUGAUCGGCAGCACUGGGACUGAGACACGGCCCAGAGUCCUACGGGAGGCAGCAGUAGGGAAUCUUCCGCAAUGGACGAAAGUCUGAAGGAGCAACGCCGCGUGAGUGACGAAGGUUUUCGGAUCGUAAAACUCUGUUGUGAGGGAAGAACAAGUACCAACUAACUACUGGUACCUUGACGGUACCUCACCAGAAAGCCACGGCUAACUACGUGCCAGCCGCCGCGGUAA